UACGUAGGGUGCAAGCGUUAAUCGGAAUUACUGGGCGUAAAGCGUGCGCAGGCGGUGAUGUAAGACAGGGGUGAAAUCCCCGGGCUUAACCUGGGAACUGCGCUUGUUACUGGCAAGCUGGAGUGUGGCAGAGGGGGGUGGAAUUCCACGUGUAGCAGUGAAAUGCGUAGAGAUGCGGAGGAACACCGAUGGCGAAGGCAGCCCCCUGGGCCAACACUGACGCUCAGGCACGAAAGCGUGGGGAGCAAACAGG
rnacentral:rRNA from 1 species